ACGGGUGAGUAAUGUCUGGGGAUCUGCCCGAUAGAGGGGGAUAACCACUGGAAACGGUGGCUAAUACCGCAUAACGUCGCAAGACCAAAGAGGGGGACCUUCGGGCCUCUCACUAUCGGAUGAACCCAGAUGGGAUUAGCUAGUAGGCGGGGUAACGGCCCACCUAGGCGACGAUCCCUAACUGGUCUGAGAGGAUGACCAGCCACACUGGAACUGAGACACGGUCCAGACUCCUACGGGAGGCAGCAGUGGGGAAUAUUGCACAAUGGGCGCAAGCCUGAUGCAGCCAUGCCGCGUGUAUGAAGAAGGCCUUCGGGUUGUAAAGUACUUUCAGCGGGGAGGAAGGCGAUAAGGUUAAUAACCUUGUCGAUUGACGUUACCCGCAGAAGAAGCACCGGCUAACUCCGUGCCAGCAGCCGCGGUAAUACGGAGGGUGCAAGCGUUAAUCGGAAUUACUGGGCGUAAAGCGCACGCAGGCGGUCUGUUAAGUCAGAUGUGAAAUCCCCGGGCUUAACCUGGGAACUGCAUUUGAAACUGGCAGGCUUGAGUCUCGUAGAGGGGGGUAGAAUUCCAGGUGUA
rnacentral:rRNA from 1 species